UAUACAUGCAGUCGAGCGAACAGAAGGGAGCUUGCUCCCGGAUGUUAGCGGCGGACGGGUGAGUAACACGUGGGUAACCUGCCUGUAAGACUGGGAUAACUCCGGGAAACCGGAGCUAAUACCGGAUAGUUCCUUGAACCGCAUGGUUCAAGGAUGAAAGACGGUUUCGGCUGUCACUUACAGAUGGACCCGCGGCGCAUUAGCUAGUUGGUGGGGUAAUGGCUCACCAAGGCGACGAUGCGUAGCCGACCUGAGAGGGUGAUCGGCCACACUGGGACUGAGACACGGCCCAGACUCCUACGGGAGGCAGCAGUAGGGAAUCUUCCGCAAUGGACGAAAGUCUGACGGAGCAACGCCGCGUGAGUGAUGAAGGUUUUCGGAUCGUAAAGCUCUGUUGUUAGGGAAGAACAAGUGCGAGAGUAACUGCUCGCACCUUGACGGUACCUAACCAGAAAGCCACGGCUAACUACGUGCCAGCAGCCGCGGUAAUACGUAGGUGGCAAGCGUUGUCCGGAAUUAUUGGGCGUAAGGGCUCGCAGGCGGUUUCUUAAGUCUGAUGUGAAAGCCCCCGGCUCAACCGGGGAGGGUCAUUGGAAACUGGGAAACUUGAGUGCAGAAGAGGAGAGUGGAAUUCCACGUGUAGCGGUGAAAUGCGUAGAGAUGUGGAGGAACACCAGUGGCGAAGGCGACUCUCUGGUCUGUAACUGACGCUGAGGAGCGAAAGCGUGGGGAGCGAACAGGAUUAGAUACCCUGGUAGUCCACGCCGUAAACGAUGAGUGCUAAGUGUUAGGGGGUUUCCGCCCCUUAGUGCUGCAGCUAACGCAUUAAGCACUCCGCCUGGGGAGUACGGUCGCAAGACUGAAACUCAAAGGAAUUGACGGGGGCCCGCACAAGCGGUGGAGCAUGUGGUUUAAUUCGAAGCAACGCGAAGAACCUUACCAGGUCUUGACAUCCUCUGACAACCCUAGAGAUAGGGCUUUCCCUUCGGGGACAGAGUGACAGGUGGUGCAUGGUUGUCGUCAGCUCGUGUCGUGAGAUGUUGGGUUAAGUCCCGCAACGAGCGCAACCCUUGAUCUUAGUUGCCAGCAUUUAGUUGGGCACUCUAAGGUGACUGCCGGUGACAAACCGGAGGAAGGUGGGGAUGACGUCAAAUCAUCAUGCCCCUUAUGACCUGGGCUACACACGUGCUACAAUGGACAGAACAAAGGGCUGCGAGACCGCAAGGUUUAGCCAAUCCCAUAAAUCUGUUCUCAGUUCGGAUCGCAGUCUGCAACUCGACUGCGUGAAGCUGGAAUCGCUAGUAAUCGCGGAUCAGCAUGCCGCGGUGAAUACGUUCC
rnacentral:rRNA from 2 species